rnacentral:rRNA from 1 species
CCUACGGGCGGCAGCAGUGGGGAAUAUUGGACAAUGGGCGAAAGCCUGAUCCAGCCAUGCCGCGUGUGUGAAGAAGGCCUUCGGGUUGUAAAGCACUUUCAGUGGGGAAGAAAACCUUGGGGCUAAUACCCUCGAGGAAGGACAUUACCCACAGAAGAAGCACCGGCUACUCCGUGCCAGCAGCCGCGGUAAUACGGAGGGUGCGAGCGUUAAUCGGAAUUACUGGGCGUAAAGCGCGCGUAGGCGGUCUGAUAAGCCGGUUGUGAAAGCCCCGGGCUCAACCUGGGAACGGCAUCCGGAACUGUCAGGCUAGAGUGCAGGAGAGGAAGGUAGAAUUCCCGGUGUAGCGGUGAAAUGCGUAGAGAUCGGGAGGAAUACCAGUGGCGAAGGCGGCCUUCUGGACUGACACUGACGCUGAGGUGCGAAAGCGUGGGUAGCAAACAGGAUUAGAUACCCGAGUAGUC